CACGAAGGGGGCUAGCGUUGUUCGGAAUUACUGGGCGUAAAGCGCGCGCAGGCGGUCCUUUAAGUCUGAUGUGAAAGCCCACGGCUCAACCGUGGAGGGUCAUUGGAAACUGGGGGACUUGAGUACAGAAGAGAAGAGUGGAAUUCCACGUGUAGCGGUGAAAUGCGUAGAGAUGUGGAGGAACACCAGUGGCGAAGGCGACUCUUUGGUCUGUAACUGACGCUGAGGCGCGAAAGCGUGGGGAGCAAACAGG
rnacentral:rRNA from 1 species